GACGUAGGAUGCGAGCGUUGUCCGGAUUUAUUGGGCGUAAAGAGUUCGUAGGUGGUUUGUCAAGUCCGAUGUUAAAUCCCGAGGCCCAACCUCGGAGGUGCAUUGGAUACUGGCAGACUGGAGUGCAGUAGAGGCAAGCGGAAUUCCCAGUGUAGCGGUGAAAUGCGUAGAUAUUGGGAAGAACACCAGUGGCGUAAGCGGCUUGCUGGGCUGUAACUGACACUGAGGAACGAAAGCCAGGGGAGCGAAUGGG
rnacentral:rRNA from 1 species